rnacentral:SRP_RNA from 1 species
GCCGGGUGUGGUGACUCACGCCUGUAAUCCCAGCACUUUGGGAGGCUGAGGCGGGUGGAUCACCUGAGGUCAGGAGUUUGAGACCAGCCUGGCCAACAUGGUGAAACCCUGUCUCUA